rnacentral:rRNA from 1 species
CCUACGGGUGGCUUCAGUCGAGAAUCAUUCACAAUGGGGGAAACCCUGAUGGUGCGACGCCGCGUGGGGGAAUGAAGGUCUUCGGAUUGUAAACCCCUGUCAUGUGGGAGCAAAUUAAAAAGAUCGUACCCCAAGAGGAAGAGACUGCUAACUCUGUGCCAGCAGCCGCGGUAAUACAGAGGUCUCAAGCGUUGUUCGGAAUCACUGGGCGUAAAGCGUGCGUAGGCUGUUUCGUAAGUCGUGUGUGAAAGGCGCGGGCUCAACCCGCGGACGGCACAUGAUACUGCGAGACUAGAGUAAGGGAGGGGGAACCGGAAUUCUCGGUGUAGCAGUGAAAUGCGUAGAUAUCGAGAGGAACACUCGUGGCGAAGGCGGGUUCCUGGACAUUAACUGACGCUGAGGAGCGAAAGCGUGGGUAGCAAACAGGAUUAGAUACCCCUGUAGUC